rnacentral:tRNA from 1 species
GGGUCGCUAGCUCAGUUGGUAGAGCACCGGCCUUUUAAGCCGAGGGUCACAGGUUCGAGCCCUGUGCGACCCACCA